GAUCAUGGCUCAGGACGAACGCUGGCGGCGCGCCUAACACAUGCAAGUCGAACGAGCGAGAGAGAGCUUGCUUUCUCAAGCGAGUGGCGAACGGGUGAGUAACGCGUGAGGAGCCUGCCUCAAAGAGGGGGACAACGAGUUGGAAACGACUGCUAAUACCGCAUAAGCCCACGACCCGGCAUCGGGUAGAGGGAAAAGGAGCAAUCCGCUUUAGAGAUGGCCUCGCGUCCGAUUAG
rnacentral:rRNA from 1 species